rnacentral:rRNA from 1 species
UACGUAGGGGGCAAGCGUUGUCCGGAUUUAUUGGGCGUAAAGCGCUCGCAGGUGGUUUGUCGCGUCGUGCGUGAAAGACCCCGGCUCAACUGGGGAGGGUCGUGCGAUACGGGCGAACUGGAGGCCAGUAGGGGGAUGCGGAAUUCCGGGUGUAGUGGUGGAAUGCGUAGAGAUCCGGAGGAACACCAGCGGCGAAGGCGGCAUCCUGGACUGGUCCUGACACUCAGGAGCGAAAGCGUGGGGAGCGAUCCGG